AGUGCGCCAAAUCAAAUGUGACCAAGGCACCAACUUUGUAGGAGCCAAGAAUGAGCUGAAAAAUGCCCUCAAGGAGAUUGACGCUGAUCGUCUGACAGUGUUCUUAGCUGAGAAGCAGUGUGACAUUGUCCUAAAUGCGCCCCAUUCAAGUCAUGCAGGUGGGGUAUGGGAGAGACAAAUCAGAACAGUGAGAAAUGUUCUUCGCUCAACUCUCUCACUCUCUUCUGACAAACUGGACGAUGCAUCACUGCGGACAUUCUUUUCUGAAGCUAUGGCGAUCGUAAACAGUAGACCACUAACGGUUGACAACCUAAACGACCCCAACAGCCUUGCACCUCUCACCCCUAAUAACCUGCUUACUAUGAAGUCUGUUCCAGCAUUACCACCACCAGGCAGAUUCAUCAGAGAAGACAUCUAUGCAAGAAAAAGGUGGCGUCAUGUUCAGUACCUCGCAGAGCAGUUUUGGAGUCGCUGGCGUAGGGAGUAUCUUUCCAACAUUGCCACCAGGCAGCGCUGGCACAGAGCAAAGAGAAACCUGCGAGUAGGAGAUAUUGUGAUGGAAAAGGCUGAUGGUCUGCCUAGAAAUGAGUGGCGGCUGGCCAGAGUUACAGAGACUACUACAGAUAAAGACGGGCUUGUAAGAAGAGUCAAAGUAUGCCUUGGUGACCGGAAUCUGGAGAAGGAUGGUCGUCGUCUCAACAAGCUGUCUGUCAUUGAACGCCCAGUCCAGAAGCUGAUACUGUUGCUAGAGACCGUCUAACUGCUUCCAGUAGCAACCAAGUGUAUCCUUUUCAUUAUAUUACUUAAAUUCUAGCAUUCAUUCAACAUAGUAUGGGCACUUUUCGUCCGUUUCUGAGUUAAAGGUCAUUUUUUAAAAUUUAAAAAUCAUUUGUAAUUUAUAUUUCUUAACGUCAUACAAAUCCCUCAUGAUUUGGUGGGAGUGUAAAUGACCAUUGAAUCCCCAAUCACUGAAGUAGGUCGUCAUCUUUACCUCCAACCAUAGAGGGCAGUGUUGCCAUGGAACUCCUGAGAAAGGCUUUCACAAGAAAGGACUUUAUUAUUGAACUUGAACCAAAUGUUACUUUGUUUGUUUUUGGUUGACUAAUAAUUCUUGCUGCAUACUUAAUGUGGACAUUGUAUUUUUAUUUGUUUUAUUAAGUGUACAUUUUUUACCUCACAUGCUUUUAUUUUGAAGUCUGGAAAAGGAAGUGCAGCAGCACUCUUUGUGUACAUUGGCGCUCUUUUUACGUGAAGCGCCAUUCUGAUUUAACGUUAAGAGAGAAAGGAUAAACCCUUGGGUACUCACUGUACAAAUGUUUGUUUUAAAAAGGUUUCUUUCUACAUCUUAGCUCCUGGCUGAAGGGCACAAGCUCUUACGGUGUUUUUGGAAAUUAAAUUCUUUAUAAACAUCAGUUCCUGAGAGUAAGAUGCAUCUGUUCAGCCGGGAAUGCUACAGUCAUAGUGUGUCUUCCACCACAGCUUCAGCAGCGCAGUAGCUGAGCCGCUGCGCUAGACAAGGCUGGCCUGUGACCCAGCAACAUAUCGAUCCAGACAGUCAAACCAG